rnacentral:piRNA from 1 species
UNUUAAUAGUGAGCUACUGCUUAUUAAGUC